CAGAGAGUAGUUUAAUUGAAAACGCCAGCUUUGGGAGUUGGUGAUGAGGGUUGAAUUCCUUUCUCUUUGA
rnacentral:tRNA from 1 species